rnacentral:rRNA from 1 species
GACGUAGGUGGCGAACGUUAUCCGGAAUUAUUGGGCGUAAAGGGUGCGUAGAUGGUCUGAUAAGUUAUCAGCGGUAAAUCGAGGCUCAACCUCGCGGAAACUGGUAAUACUGUCAGGCUUGAGUACAGGAGAGGUUAAUGGAAUUCCCUGUGGAGCGGUAAAAUGCGUUAGAUAUAGGGAGGAACACCAAUAACGGCGAAGGCAAUUAACUAUCCUGUUACUGACAUUGAGGCACGAAAGCGUGGGGAGCAAAACGG